rnacentral:rRNA from 1 species
GACGGACGCUGGCGGCGUGCCUAAUACAUGCAAGUAGAACGCUGAAGGAGGAGCUUGCUUCUCUGGAUGAGUUGCGAACGGGUGAGUAACGCGUAGGUAACCUGCCUGGUAGCGGGGGAUAACUAUUGGAAACGAUAGCUAAUACCGCAUAAUAGCAGUUAUUGCAUGAUAACUGUUUGAAAGGUGCAAUUGCACCACUACCAGAUGGACCUGCGUUGUAUUAGCUAGUUGGUGGGGUAACGGCUCACCAAGGCGACGAUACAUAGCCGACCUGAGAGGGUGAUCGGCCACACUGGGACUGAGACACGGCCCAGACUCCUACGGGAGGCAGCAGUAGGGAAUCUUCGGCAAUGGACGGAAGUCUGACCGAGCAACGCCGCGUGAGUGAAGAAGGUUUUCGGAUCGUAAAGCUCUGUUGUAAGAGAAGAACGAGUGUGAGAGUGGAAAGUUCACACUGUGACGGUAUCUUACCAGAAAGGGACGGCUAACUACGUG